UACAGAGGUCUCAAGCGUUGUUCGGAUUCAUUGGGCGUAAAGGGCGCGUAGGCUGCGGGGCAAGUCGGGUGUGAAAUCUCAGAGCUCAACUCUGAAACUGCACUCGAUACUGCUUUGCUCGAGGACUGGAGAGGAGAUUGGAAUUCACGGUGUAGCAGUGAAAUGCGUAGAUAUCGUGAGGAAGACCAGUGGCGAAGGCGGAUCUCUGGACAGUUCCUGACGCUGAGACACGAAGGCCAGGGGAGCAAACGGG
rnacentral:rRNA from 1 species